AACUUUUAGCAAUGGAUCACUUGGUUCUGGCAUCGAUGAAGAACGCAGCGAAAUGCGAUAAGUAAUGCGAAUUGCAGAGCCCGUGAGUCAUCGAAUCUUUGAACGCAUAUUGCGCCCCUUGGCAUUCCGAGGGGCAUGCCUGUUCGAGCGUCAUUAUCACCCCUCAAGCCCCCGGCUUGGUGUUGGACUCAGUCGUCGCUCGCCCGGUGACUGGUCUCGAAGACAGUGACGCCGUCCCAGAGGGAACCGGUACGAGGAGCUUUCUUAACCGAAGCAUGUGCCGGGAAGACUCUUGCGGGGCGGCGGUCUCUUGCACCCACAAAUUUUCAAGUGUUGACCUCGGAUCAGGUAGGAAUACCCGCUGAACUUAAGCAUAUCAAUAAGCGGAGGCU
rnacentral:misc_RNA from 1 species